rnacentral:rRNA from 1 species
GACGAACGCUGGCGGCGUGCCUAAUACAUGCAAGUCGAACGGUCUUUUCUAUGGAAGCUUGCUUCCACUGAGAAGAUAGUGGCGAACGGGUGAGUAACACGUGGGUAACCUGCCCAUAAGAGGGGGAUAACAUCCGGAAACGGGUGCUAAUACCGCAUAGUUUUCUUGAUCGCAUGAUCGGGAAAGGAAGGACGGCCUUUGUGCUGUCGCUUAUGGAUGGACCCGCGGCGUAUUAGUUAGUUGGUGAGGUAAUGGCUCACCAAGACGAUGAUACGUAGCCGACCUGAGAGGGUGAUCGGCCACAUUGGGACUGAGACACGGCCCAAACUCCUACGGGAGGCAGCAGUAGGGAAUCUUCCGCAAUGGACGAAAGUCUGACGGAGCAACGCCGCGUGAGUGAAGAAGGUUUUCGGAUCGUAAAACUCUGUUGUCAGAGAAGAACAAGUUGGAGAGUAACUGCUCCAGCCUUGACGGUAUCUGACCAGAAAGCCACGGCUAACUACGUGCCAGCCGCCGCCGUAAAAC